CAUUAGGAAGGUUGAGAACCACUGUUCUCGGGGAACUGGGUACACUGGAGCUGCACAGACAGCUGUGAUCAAGGAGAUGCCAAGAAUGACCAAGACCAAUCAGUAAUGAUACUGAAUUUACUUUCCAAAUCUAAUGAAUCAGAAUUGCCAGGGGUGGUACCCGAUCAUCACACAAGCAUGUUUCAAAUCCUUCACUGACUCCAAAGAGGUCAAGCUUGAAUUUAUAUCUUCAUCUAUAAGACUCCAGAAUCCAAGAUGUUUCCUGUCAGCAUCCUGAUGCUGCUUCCAGAUUAAGAAGGUCAGAAGCCAAACAGAAGCCAGACUUACUUUCCUGCUCGUGUCUGUUGGUCCUGGGCUUGUGACCAGCUCCUGUACCAGGUCUUCUCUGGGGAUCCUGGAGAGAGAAGGCAAUCCAGACCACGGCUGUUUUCCAAGACAUGAUGUGGAAUCCUGCUGUUUCUGCAUCAGAUAAAUCAAUGAUAAUCUUUAACUCAGUGAGGGGCGAGUCACGGGGAUGUAUUCUUGCAUCCAUGGUGCUGCAAUCAUCAGAUUUCCUGGAGCCCAUUCACCAGCGGUUCUGAACUUGCCAGAUUGCUUGCUGGGCCUAAAAUACUGCAUGUGUGUGGUGACCCCGGCCUGGUUGUUUCCAUGAAUCCUCUUUCCCUAACUCACAACUGACAUUUCCAAGUCACACAGGGGGGAAAGGGCUCCAGUCUCAGCAUUUCCAUUAGUGGUUUUGGCCGGGUCUGGCCUGUCACUGAACUGCUCUCUCCUGGCACCAAUUCUAUGGUGGUGGGAGCAGAGAGAACCGAGGAAGGGACAGGGAGGGCAGGCUGCACGUGUCUUCUGCAGUCUGAUCCUUAUUUUCCCUUUCCAUUCUUCCUCUGUGGCGAUUUUUGGCAAGACAAAAUUCUUGGUUGUGAGCCUAGCCUUUAAAGGUGGAGCCAUCUCUCCACCCCAGCAAGACAAUAUUUUUCUCCAAAUGCAUUCAGUUGGUCGUUCCUUUCUUUAUUCAUCUGCUUGUGUAAGCUACACAAAUGAAGCCUUUGUUGUGAGGUACAUGUGGAGGAGCUGUGAGAUUUAAACUUGGCAUGUAAAAUAAUAGUUUUCAUUAUGAUGUUG
rnacentral:lncRNA from 1 species